CAUGAGAGAUCACCCUAUGGCCUCACACACCAUGAGGUGGCCACAAGGAAUAAGCUGAAGCUGAACCCUGACAAAACCAAGAAUGAUGCAGAAACAAGAUGGAACAGACUUAUGAAUGAACACAUGUGAAACUGACCAUGGUCCAGAAACAGACUGAUCCACUAACCCCAAAUGAUAUCAGUAUUUACAAUAUGGGGGAGCUCUGUUAUGCAACUGCAGAGACAUGCUGUGGACCACCUGAACGAAGCUUGAGGACCACCAGUGGUCCACGGACCACAGUUUGGGAACCCCGGGUGUAGGCAAC